rnacentral:rRNA from 1 species
UACGAAGGUGCAAGCGUUACUCGGAAUUACUGGGCGUAAAGCGUGCGUAGGUGGUUGUUUAAGUCUGCUGUGAAAGCCCUGGGCUCAACCUGGGAAAUUGCAGGUUGGAUACCUGGGCGACUAGGAGUGUGGUAGAGGAUAGUGGAAUUCCGGUGUAGCAGUGAAAUGCGUAGAGAUCGGAAGGAACAUCUGUGGCGAAGGCGACUAUCUGGCCAACACGUGACACUGAGGCACGAAAGCGUGGGGAGCAAACAGG